UACAUCCUGCCUUGUGCGUUAGAUUAUCUUGGUUUUGAUCCUAUUAGUGACAAGGGAACUAAACGUCAAGUUAGUACAACAGGCCCUUCCUUGAAAAAGGGAAGUUGGAAGGCUUGGACUAGGUGCCCACCUGCGAGAGCAGGGUCAGAAACCUAGAGUCUUACGGCAAGUUGGGGAAGGG
rnacentral:other from 1 species